AUUGCAGGCUGCAACUCGCCUGCAUGAAGUCGGAAUUGCUAGUAAUCGCGGAUCAGCAUGCCGCGGUGAAUACGUUCCCGGGCCUUGUACACACCGCCCGUCACACCAUGAGAGCCGGUAACACCCGAAGUCAGUAGUCUAACCGCAAGGGGGACGCUGCCGAAGGUGGGGCUGGUGAUUGGGGUGAAGUCGUAACAAGGUACC
rnacentral:rRNA from 1 species